GUGGGGAAUCUUGCGCAAUGGGCGAAAGCCUGACGCAGCCAUGCCGCGUGAAUGAUGAAGGUCUUAGGAUUGUAAAAUUCUUUCACCGGGGACGAUAAUGACGGUACCCGGAGAAGAAGCUCCGGCUAACUUCGUGCCAGCAGCCGCGGUAAUACGAAGGGGGCUAGCGUUGCUCGGAAUUACUGGGCGUAAAGGGCGCGUAGGCGGACAGCUUAGUCAGAGGUGAAAGCCCAGGGCUCAACCUUGGAAUUGACUUUGAUACUGGCUGUCUUGAGUUUGGGAGAGGUGAGUGGAACUCCGAGUGUAGAGGUGAAAUUCGUAGAUAUUCGGAAGAACACCAGUGGCGAAGGCGACUCACUGGCCCAAUACUGACGCUGAGGCGCGAAAGCGUGGGGAGCAAACAGGAUUAGAAACCCCAGUAGUCC
rnacentral:rRNA from 1 species